rnacentral:tRNA from 1 species
GAAGGUAUAGCUCAGUGGUAGAGUGUGUGCUUAGCAUGCCCGAGAUCUGGGUUCAAUCCCCAAUGCCUCCA